UACGUAGGGCGCAAGCGUUGUCCGGAAUUAUUGGGCGUAAAGAGCUCGUAGGCGGACUGUUAAGUCGGAUGUGAAAUCCCUCAGCUUAACUGAGGAAGUGCACUCGAAACUGGCAGUCUUGAGUAUGGAAGAGGGUCGCGGAAUUCCCGGUGUAGCGGUGAAAUGCGUAGAGAUCGGGAGGAACACCAGAGGCGAAGGCGGCGACCUGGACAGUGACUGACACUCAACUGCGAAAGCGUGGGGAGCAAACAGG
rnacentral:rRNA from 1 species